UACGAAGGGGGCUAGCGUUGCUCGGAAUUACUGGGCGUAAAGCGCACGUAGGCGGACUGUUAAGUCGGGGGUGAAAUCCUGGGGCUCAACCUCAGAAUUGCCUCCGAUACUGGCAGUCUCGAGUGCGGGAGAGGUGAGUGGAAUUCCCAGUGUAGAGGUGAAAUUCGUAGAUAUUCGCAAGAACACCAGUGGCGAAGGCGGCUCACUGGCCCGGAACUGACGCUGAGGUGCGAAAGCGUGGGGAGCAAACAGGG
rnacentral:rRNA from 1 species